AACUAAUAUAAAAUUCCUCCUCCUAUUAAUGCAAAAUUCAUUAUUAACCGAAAACAGGCUUCAGAAAUUUAAAGUACAUGAACCUCUGCGUGGAGAUGAAUGAAUGGUUAGCUAGAAAAUUACAUGGUGUGAAUGAUACGCUUUAGAAAUUUUUUGAGGUUUCACUGCAAAAUAUGACACAUAUUGUUGUGCGUGCAUCGCGGAUGUUUAAAUAGAAUAUUAGAUUUUAGAAAAUGAUCAGAAAUCGAGUACAAGAGAAGUGGAUUAUCUCGUGAUUAGGGUUUUUAUUAUUUUUUUGUUUAACUUGGUGCGUUUUGUGUUCAAAUCCUUCAUUACUUAAAUACACAUGAUUCUAUAAAUUAUUUAUUAAGUAGCUAUGUGCCUAGAUAUAGAAAAUAUUAGAGAGAUCAUAUUGUCGUAUCAUAUAUUGAUGUAUCGUUUGAUGUGACGAGCGUUCAUCGCUAACCAGUUAGUGUUUUAACAUGAAAUUAGCCACUUGUUUGGACUUAUUGAACAAUAUUUCUCAUAAUAUGAACAUAUCAUUUUUCUUAAGGUUCUCAUGGAAAUAUCAUCCCUGCAAAAAUUGACUAAAAUCGAAUAUCAUGUGGUUAUCUAAUUAUGACAUAAUAAAAUAGACCAAGACAGAGUUGUUGAUAAAAUAUAAAAAUGUUCACAACAAUAGUUAAAGAGAUAUAAAUGAUUUUUUAUUUGCAUGAUUUUUUACAAGAAUAAUUUACUAAUAAUAUCCAAAAAUCUGCGCAGUUCGAAUGAGAUUACAUUGUGAAAUAGGUUUAACAAAUAAUUUAACGCCGUAUUACAAUACUAACUAAUUACGUAUUUAGCGAUCAUAUAUAGGGGUGGUUCGGUAUGGGAUCCCGUACCGAAACCCUUGUCCCGAUUCCCAUACCGAAAUUUUCGGGAAUCCCAAUUUCAAUACCGAUCCCAAACCAAAUUUUCGGGAAUCCCGAAAUAGUUUCGGGAUUUCGGGACAAAUCGGGAAUCCCAAAAAAAAUUUGGGCUUUUGGACAAAAAAAAGCUAAUAUUGGUCCAAUUGGACAAAACCUAAUAUUGGGCCAUGCCCACUGAAUGUAACAGCCCCCAUAUGGGCUUAACUUGAUUCAACCAAAUAAAAAAAAUAUUGGGAUAAUUGAUGUUGGCCCGAGUCUGCCAUUCUGUGCUGUUACUUAUACCCUAAGGUUGGUCACAAAGUAUGAAAAUGUAGGGUUCACAAAGUUUUGGGUAACAUCAAUCUGUGUUGUUAGGACAAAAACCUAUGAAAAUGUAAUUUACCCUAUUCAAAAGCAAUCUGCCAAUUGCCAAUCUGUGCACAAUUGCAUAUGCCUAUUCAAGUUCUACUACACAUGCAUGCAAUAAAAAUAAAUUAAGUACCAAAUCCAAAAGCAAAAAUAUUAGUUACAAGCCAAGGUUUUAAAAUAAAUAAAGUAACAAACCCAAAAGCAAAAAAAUUAGUUACAAUCCAAAGUUUUAAUAAUUAAGUUACAAACCAAAAGCAAAAAAACAAAGUUUCAAGUUUAUGAAGAUUGUUGACCUCUUCGGCCUCUUCGGCCCCUUCUUGUUGGCACUUGUAAUUUUCCCCUUGAUGUUGAUGGUUGAGCC
rnacentral:lncRNA from 1 species